GACGAACGCUGGCGGCGUGCUUAACACAUGCCAGUCGAACGGAAAGGCCCUGCUUUUGUGGGGUGCUCGAGUGGCGAACGGGUGAGUAACACGUGAGUAACCUGCCCUUGACUUUGGGAUAACUUCAGGAAACUGGGGCUAAUACCGGAUAGGAGCUCCUGCUGCAUGGUGGGGGUUGGAAAGUUUCGGCGGUUGGGGAUGGACUCGCGGCUUAUCAGCUGGUUGGUGGGGUAGUGGCUUACCAAGGCUUUGACGGGUAGCCGGCCUGAGAGGGUGACCGGCCACAUUGGGACUGAGAUACGGCCCAGAGUCCUACGGGAGGCAGCAGUGGGGAAUAUUGCACAAUGGGCGGAAGCCUGAUGCAGCAACGCCGCGUGCGGGAUGACGGCCUUCGGGUUGUAAACCGCUUUCGCCUGUGACGAAGCGUGAGUGACGGUAAUGGGUAAAGAAGCACCGGCUAACUACGUG
rnacentral:rRNA from 1 species